UUAAUUCGACGCAACGCGAAGAACCUUACCAAGGCUUGACAUAUACAGGAAUAUGGCAGAGAUGUCAUAGCCGCAAGGUCUGUAUACAGGUGGUGCAUGGUUGUCGUCAGCUCGUGUCGUGAGAUGUUGGGUUAAGUCCCGCAACGAGCGCAACCCUCGUUCUGUGUUGCCAGCAUUUAGUUGGGGACUCACAGGAGACUGCCGGGGUUAACUCGGAGGAAGGUGGGGAUGACGUCAAAUCAUCAUGCCCCUUAUGUCUUGGGCUGCACGCAUGCUACAAUGGCUGGUACAAACGGCUGCAAUACCGCAAGGUGGAGCGAAUCCGAGAAAGCCAGUCUCAGUUCGGAUUGGGGUCUGCAACUCGACCCCAUGAAGUCGGAGUUGCUAGUAAUCGUAGAUCAGCAACGCUACGGUGAAUACGUUCCCGGGGCUUGUACACACCGCCCGUCACGUCACGAAAGUCGGUAACACCCGAAGUCAGUGGCCC
rnacentral:rRNA from 1 species